AUGGAGUUCCAGGCUCUUGACUUUGGCCUGGCCCAUCCCUGGGAGGCAGGGAUUCAAGCACUUGGGCCAUCUUCUGUUGCCUUCCCAGGCACAUUAGCAGGAAGCUGGAUCAGAAGUGGAGCAGUAGGACUGGAAGUGGCGCUCACUGGGGACGCCAGCAUGACAGGCAGCAGCUUAACCCACUGCGCCACAGCGCCAGCCCUUGCCUAUUGCUUCUUAAAGAAUCCCCCCAAAGCUGGACAGUUGAAAACAACAGUAUUCCUUCUGCUCGCCAAGUUGCAACCUCAGCAGGGCGCUGGAGCAGCUGGAAGGCUGGUGCGGGAUCUCCCCAAGGCCACUCUCAAGUGUGCGGACUCAUGCUGGCUGUGGCCUGGGAUGUGGGCAGGGACUGGGGCCAGAGCUCCAUCUGCGACCUGUGUGUGUGGCCGCUGGGCUCCCGCCCAGCGUGGAGAUGGUUUCCAGAGGGAGCAGCCCACGCAAACUUGGCAGAGGCUCUCGGUCCCUGUUCAGCGUCACCUGGGAUGUCACACGGCACCUCUUCUGCCAUUACCACAGGCCUGCCAACUCCCGGGGCGGGGGGGGGUCCACAGGCCCCACGCGUCUGUACAGCAGUGUUCGUGUCCAGUGAGAAGACCACGUGGGGUGGGACAGAUUGACACUGCUUUCUUUCAAAACCACGAGGGGCUGUGGAAAGGUACGUGGGAAAUGCACACACACACACAAAAAAAAAGGUGCAUGCAUUUCAGAAACUUUUUGCACCAAAAUGAACUUCACUUUGAAUUCCACUCCCCCCCCCCGAGGUUUUUGAGGUGCGCUUGUACCAUCCGCCACACUCACCUGCUAGACUGCAGGAGCCGUGAGGACAGAGGGCAUUGGUGGUGCAGAAGGAAGGGAAGGAAGAAGGGGGGAGAGAAGGAGGGAGGGGGGAGAGAAGGAGGGAGGGGGAGAGAAGGAGAGAGGGGGGAGAGUAGGAGGGAGAGGGGAGAGAAGGAGAGAGGGGGGAGAGAAGGAGAGAGGGGGGAGAGAAGGAGAGAGGGAGGAGAGAAGGAGAGAGGGGGGAGAGAAGGAGAGAGGGGGGAUGCAAUUUUAUAUCAAAAAUGCAAAAGUAGCUGCAGACUCUUCAGAGCAAGAAGCUACUAA
rnacentral:lncRNA from 1 species